CGCGGAGUAGAGCAGUUGGUAGCUCGUCGGGCUCAUAACCCGGAGGCCGCAGGUUCAAGUCCUGUCUCCGCAA
rnacentral:tRNA from 1 species